rnacentral:rRNA from 1 species
UACGUAGGGGGCCAGCGUUGCUCGGAGUUACUGGGCGUAAAGGGUCCGUAGGCGGUGUGGUAAGUCGGGAGUGAAAUCUCUGGGCUUAACUCAGAGGCUGCUUUCGAAACUGCCGUGCUAGAGUGUGAGAUAGGCGAGUGGAAUUGCGGGUGUAGCGGUGAAAUGCGUAGAUAUCCGCAGGAACAUCCGAGGCGAAAGCGGCUCGCUGGAUCACAACUGACGCUGAGGGACGAAAGCUAGGGGAGCAAACAGG